rnacentral:ncRNA from 1 species
AGUAAUCCUGCUCAGUACAAGAGGAACUGCAAGUUCAGAGCCCUGGGCACUUGGCUGAGGAGCCAGUGGCAUUAAGGCUACCAUUUGCGGGCAUAUGACCCAACGCCUCUAAGUCAGAAUCCUGCU